GUAUGGUUAUUGAUUUGCUAGCAUAUAUUCUAGACUAAAUUUUGUUAGCCUGCUGCACUUUAUAUCGCUUUUAUCUGGUUUCUUUCUUAGUUUCUUAUAACAUCUUAAUUUAUUAGUUUUAUAUGACGUAAGAUUGUUCCGUUCACUAAUGUUUCUCCAUGUUUAUGAAGAAAAGAUUGGGUUCAGAGCACCUUUCCAUGUUAUUUAUCUGAUUUUUGUGAUUUCUGAUGUUCAGGUCAAGGCAAACUUGAAAUGUGGCCACCUUUGUAUGGCUAAUGGCUUUGUAGGCUUUCAGUAUUUGGCGUCUGUCGCCGGGUUUGUUCCGCCUCAACCAGGAUCUUCUCAGCACUGCUCUGAUGUUGUGAAAACUCACGCACGCCGGCAGCCGCCUCCAUGCUCCAGUUGUCGCAGCCUGCAGGGCCAGUUGCUCCUAUCUAGACGAGCUUUGUCAGGGUCAUGUGGUUGCUGCUGCUACCGCUUUGUCGGGGUCAAGGGUCAAUAAAACUCAGGUCAAUUGAUGUUGGGCACCAAUCUUGCUCCUAUUUGGGUGGGCUACAGCUUUGUCAGGCUGCCAUCAUAUUCUGAUCUUCCAGUGUUCCUUCUGCGGUGUGGAGGAGGUUUGAAAGUAGAUCGUGGUGACGAUUGCGCCAUUACAUGUUAUUAUUGUUCAUAUCUUAUCAUUAGAAAUAGACAUGUUAUAAGGAAGAUGUUACCGAUAUAUUUCUUUCAUGGUCAAUGAUUGUCUUGCUUUUCUGUGUCACAUUGCUUAUACCUGUCGUUUUCUAAAAUUAUUGCAUGGUAGCUAGCUAAUCUCUAUGAUAAUAGUUUCUGAGAUUCCAAAGGGUUUUUAAUUUUAUUUUAGACCAUGAUAGCAUUCCUUACCCGUUGUCACCUUCCUUCUCUAUCUUCGCAUGAUA